UUUCUUUCCAGCUUCUCAAAAGAGAUAUACACAGAAAGAGACGGGAGAAAAGAGAUGCGAAAGAAAGCAGAGAGAAAAAGAGAGAGAGAGAUCCGGAGCCGGCGAAUCUCCGGCAACCGGCCCCACCCGUGCUCGCCUCCCACCCACAGAAACGAAGUCGCCGAGUCUAGGUUUCCCGGCUAGGGUUCCGAUCAAGUUCUGGCAAUUUCCGGUUACCUCCGGUGAGGUUCCGGUGCGGUUCCGGAGAAUAUUUCGGUGCCGCUCAGUCUUUGUUGUUCGCUAUCACACUUCACCUCAGACUUCGUCUUGGACGUUUCAUGUAGAUAGCACACUCCACCAUCAAACUACCAUUCAAUAAUGAAGUACAUAUGCAGUGAAUCUUUAUUACUAAAAGAUAAGCUAUAAAGUGUCAUGUAGAUGUCUGUCUGAGACUCUGAAGUGUGUCUAGAGACGCCUCAGCGCAAGGCGAAGCACACAUCGGCUCACUUCCGAAGCUAGAAGAAAACAUAAAACCAAGGGCAAUACUACUUCUGCAGGUUAUUUUAACAUUUAUUCUGAAGUGUGUCUAGAGACGCCUCAGCACAAGGUGAAGCACAGAUCGGCUCACUUCCGAAGCUAGAAGAAAACAUAAAACCAAGGGCAAUACGACUUCUACAGGUGGUGGAAUUGAAUCCAUGGGGUUAGAAUCUGGACUCGGGUUUGUGCCCGAAGGCUUAGAUAUUAGCUCCAACUCCAACUUCGGAAGACGGGUCAAAUGGGUAAAAGUUAUUUCUAGCAGACGGGUAUGUUGAAUUCACCACCGAGAUGUCCGCGUCUGAGGUUUGAUCAGAGGUAUCUCUAUUCAGACUGUUGAAUAACUAUGAGGAUGAUAUUCUUGAUUGAAUUGCAACAGUGGACUUGAUAGAAACGCAUUGGAGGAUGGGGUUCCACCAACACUGAACCAACUCACAAGUCUUGGCGAGUUGUGGAUAAAAUUUUGUAUUCUUUUACAAACAUAUUUGACUUUGACUUUGAUUAUUACUUGAGCUUUGAUCUUUUGCUCUUCUUGUCAUAACAUGAUCAACAUUAUGAAAUUUGGAUCACUUAAAAGGAGGCUACCAGAAACCUUAUUCAAUCUAUCUGGCAUUCUACAAGUGUAAGAACAACUAAAAGUCUAAAACCAUCUGUAGAUUAUCAACUCGAAAUGCCAAUGUGGAGGCAAUGGAAGGUAUACAGGGGAUAGUAUUAGCGACUCGAAGAAAACUAGGUAUCCAGACACACGAAGCAAAUGGAAAUGAAGAAAAUUACUUUUCGAUCUAUGUAUAAGCGGAAGACUGUAUAUAUUAAAACCUAUGUGUUUGUCUUAAACGUCCCAUUGAAACAUAUCAACAUCCCUUCGUAUCAACUUCAUUAGUGUAAAAGGUUCAACUUCAUUAGUGCAAAUAAGAUUUCAAACCGAGAAUUAUUUGGUUUAGCGCGCCGUAACGCGCGUAAGGGUAUAACACUAGUUAUCUAUAAUACAAUUAGCAGGUGAAUAGUAUUGGGCCAUGGGCUCAAAUUAUUCAUCAUCCAAUCCAAUUUGUCUAUUUAUUUUAUUUUCAUUUCGAUUCAAAAAGGGUGCUUUAAUUUUUUUCUAUUAAUUGAAUUUUCUUUUUGUUUUCACUUGGAUUCAUUUUGUUUUCACUUGGAUUUAUUAGGUGCUUUGAUUUUUUUAUUACUUUAUUGUUUAUAAUAAUUAUAUAUUAUAAUUUUGCAACAUGUUUAUGCAUUGUGGAUUUGUACUUUAAGCUUUGGUUGUGUUUUUUGUUUUGUUUGUUGUAUUGUUUCUUUUAUUGGUUGUACAUCAUUACGUGUUUUAAUCUGCUUAGGAGCAUUUAGGUUUUAAAGGUUUAGUUUUAUUGUGAUAAUGCCGCGUGGUGGCUGAUGCAUAACAAGGUAAACACGUGUCCCUCUCCUUUCUUUUUUUUAUAUGAAAACCAAGAAAGACCACCAAACUCUUACCAGAAUUCCUUUUCCUCUUCUUCUUCAAAGAAUGAGAGAAGAUUCCAGAGACAGAGCGAGAGACGGGUAACACCACCAUUGCAUGAUGCUUUACAGUACACGACAGAGAGACCAAGCGGCGAGAGAGAGAGAGAGAGAGAGAGACAGAAAGGAGGGGUUGGAGAGACGACGGGGGCACAGUGAUGGCGGUGUCGUUGAGGGUUCUGUGGACUUUUUCCGAUCUCUUCAUCUGGUGGUGUGCUUUUUGAUUGAUUAGAUCUUGCCGCUGUUGUUACAUUUCUUCCGGCGAGUUCUCCGGCGAAGGUCUGUAUAUACCGAAACUUUUCUCUUAAUCGAUCUCAUUUUGUUUCGAUUCAUGUGUUUGUUCGGUAAAAGGUAGACAAUAACUUGGAGAUUUUUCAAUUUGAUGCCGCCUGCUACUCCGGUUUAUUUAAGUUUGUUUGUAUGUACGGUUGGAUUUAGGCAACUGUUUUACAGGUUUUAUGUCACUUUGCUCACUAUAUUUGACUUUAAAAUUCAAUUAUUAUAUUGAUUUGAUUUGCAAUAAAUUUUCUUCAGUUUAAAGUUAUAUGAGCAAAAUAAUUUGAUGUAGGGUUUAGUUUAUAGUUGAGCUUAGGUAUGGAAGAUGGGAGAGCAUCAAGACAGAGUUCUUCAACUACCUAUGCCACAAUGAUUGUGAAGAUAGCGAUGAUCAUGGCUUGAAAAAACAUCGAAUUGAGUGAGUGGAAUUUAAGAUGACCUCAUCAGAUGUUGUGUAAGAGUAACGGAUUAAGGAAACAAAGUAGCGGGUGUGACAUCCUUCGGGUUCCGUUGAUGAAUUAGUCAUUGUUCUUGACGCAAGCCCUAAUUUUGAGUUUUGUUUACGUUUCGUGUUUUAGUAUGUUUUCCUUUAGUUUCUCAUAUGACACUGCGCAUUUUUUAGCAAGUCAGUUAGUUGCCAAUCUGUAGCAGAGCUUUUUAAGGCCAUUUGGUAUUUACACCAUUUUCUCCUGUUUAUCAAUCUACAGGUACUAAGGAGGCAUGCUGUGAAUAUUUAUCUGAUAGCCCUUUUGAAUGGUGGCACAAGGUGCUUGCUUCUUAUUCAUGCGGGAUGGAAGAGUGAGCAAUCUUUUCCUCAAAUGGUUCACAGCAUAUAUAUGGAGGUAGCAAGAAUGGCUUUAUAAAUAUAUGGAUCUACGUGGUGGAGGAUCAUUAGUUUCUUUUCAAAAUUACAAGGAGUGGCAUCAGGUUUUCUCGACACUCCGAUCGGGCAAAUACUGGAGAGGCUGCAAGCACUUGGAAUUUUCUGAACCUAGAACCAUCCAUAUUUAGCCGGCUAUUGCUGAAUUUGUUUAUUAGUCUUUGCAGAUGCUCACGUUUUGCAGAGAUGAUGAUGAUGGGGAGAUGGUUUCAAAGAAAAAGAACCCAUGAAGAGAUUGUGAACUUGGAGAAGAAGCAUUGAGAAGGGCGGGCAAUACUUGAAGUGUAUUUUAGAAGGCGAAGUAUAGUGGUAGUGUUAAAAAAACACAGGUUUGGGUUGAAACACUUUGGCAUAAUCUGUUGGGCAUGAAAGCUGGCUAGACUUUAAUUUUUUUUUUUUAUGGAUAUUACAUAACAUUUAUGGAUUUUGUAUAGUAAACUCUUAAAACAGAGUGUUAUUUUCAAUUUCAAACAUGCUA